GUCCGGUGGGGUGGGCGGGGCCGGAGGGCGGGGCUUAGCCGCCGCGGCCAGGUGAGAGCGCGCUCGUGCGCGUCUGCGUUCUGGCGGCGGGGGAGGGGCGCGCUGCGGAAGCCGGCCCCGCCCCCUCUCCUGCGUACCAGCUAAGGGGGCGUCGGGGCGCCGGGGCGCCGAGGGACCUCCGAACCUUGUGUCUGCGAGACUUCGGCUCAGGGUCACCUCGGACCGAUAGGCAGCAAAGGACAGAGAGGAAAGAGCGGCUGGGUCCGGCCUAGAGUCGCGGCCGGUGGUCUGAGACUCGAACCUCUCAGGUCAGCGAGCUGGCCACAGACCAACGCUGACCGUAACAUACCCCCCAGGCGUCCAGCGCUAUAUAAGGCUACAGGCCGGAGCCUAUCGGGCGAGCACAGGCUGUCCCCGAUGUGUCUAACAGCCGAUUGCAUACUGCUCAGUGCCCCGGGCCCCAGACCUGGGACUCUGCCCCGCUUCCACCGCGGGCUGAGCCAUUGAAGCCUUCCUCGACUCGACACGACAGACACACAGGCUCUCAGCCUCAGCCCUUCCCCACGAUCCAUCCCGAGACUAAAGGGCCCAUCUCCACCUGUGUCAGCAUCCCGUGUGGAGAUGCAGCUGGCACGUCCCAGGGCAGGGUCCAAUCUGAAUCUUCAGGGUCCGGGCCUGUCCUUGGAACGCUGUCAUUUUUCCCUCCAACCUGGGAGCCUGAGUGACAGAGGCUAGAGCAGGCCCCAGAGCAGACCCUCAGCAGAGGCUGCCGGGUGGGCAGGCACCCUUUCUGAAUACUCCACAUUGUGCCAUUUGCCUGAACUCUGACGGAUGAGACGCAGCGGCUGAUGAACUGCACCGGACUUAAACUUCCAUGAGAUUCCAGAAACAUGAAGACCUCUGGGUGACCCCAAACACAGAAAGGUUCAGGCCUCUCCUUCCUGUGUCCAGCAUGAACCUGCACUCAAACCUGCAGUCCUGCCCUCACUUCAUCAGGAGCCAGCCUGGGCAGUGGCCCCACCAUGGCUGACCAUGGCUGACCGCUUCACAGCUUCACAGCGGCUUCCUCCCCUUUCCUCUCAGCACUCACCUCUGACUUCCAGUUUAACCUCCCUGUACCAGAAGUGGACUCCUAAACAGGAAGCCAAACCCAGCACUGGAGAGAGAGAGGUUGGCAUCAACGCGUGACUAUCUUGAACAUUCUGAAGGGGUCUCAUGUAUCCAUUGCUGACUCUGGUGCCUGCACAGAGGACCCUGGAGCUUAUCAUGAAAUCCAGACUGGUCCUGACUUCCCAGUUCUCCUGUCUCCACCUGCUGAAUGCUGUGGUUACAGAAGUGAGCCACGUUGCCAGGCUAGUUUGUACCCUGCCGUCUUGAAACUGGCUUGUUUUAGUGGUAAACGUCCACAAGGAUCUCCCUGAAAGCUGCUAUCCCUAAGGCUCACUCGGCCAUUCAAAAGGCAGCAGUUGCAGUGAUUGGUGCUGAUGCCCAGAGAAGACUGUGGUAGUGGUUUUUUUGUUUUUGUUUUUGUUUUUUGUUUUUUGUUUUAUUGGUAUCGCUGUUGCUGUUUUUAUUAGGAGU